rnacentral:tRNA from 1 species
GGUGGCUCAGUGGUAGAGUGCUUGCCUUGCAUGUAGGAAUCCCUGGGUUCGAUUCCUUAGUACCA